rnacentral:lncRNA from 1 species
CAGCUCAUGAACAUCUCUGCACUUCCUGGGGAGCGUCUGGCCCAGCUUGGUACCUCGCGUGUUAGCCUGCUGAGAGCUGCAGCUCCAGCCCAGCCGCGGACCGCCGGGAAGUCACCCGCUCUGGGGGCAGCUGAAUCUUGACGUUACCGCCAUUGUUUGGAGAAAUCGAGUGGGUGUGGAACUGCGGCGAGCGAGCCCAAAGUCAUGCUCAGCCGGAAAGUCGCAUACAAUAAUAUGAAGUUGAACUUUCCUCGGCGCAGAAAGGCACAAUAAUAAACCCUGAGAUCCCCGGAAUAUCAGAAGGAAAGUGCUGUUGAUUUGUUCAGCUACUUGGAAACCUCGCCUCUGCUGAGAACUUAGGAAGGAAGGUUGGCGGCGGUGAAGAGGGAAGAGGAUGAUCUAGUAAUGGGCUCUUCCAAAUCGCAUCUGGUAGGUUCAUAGCCAUGAGUCAGCCACCAAUCGGGGGCGCUGCCCCUGCCACAGCAGCAGCUUCUCCCGCCGCUGCAGCCACUGAGGCUCGUCUGCACCCGGAGGGCAGCAGCAGAAAGCAGCAGCGAGCUCAGUCACCCGCUAGACCGAGGGACAGUUCGCUGCGACAGACAAUCGCGGCCACCCGGUCCCCAGUGGGGGCCGGCACUAAACUCAAUUCUGUUCGGCAGCAGCAGCUGCAGCAGCAGCAACAGCAGGGUAACAAGACCGGGAGCCGCACGGGGCCGCCCGCCAGCAUCCGAGGAGGCGGAGGUGGGGCCGAGAAGGCGACGCCCCUGGCGCCCAAAGGGGCCGCUCCGGGAGCUGUCCAGCCUGUGGCUGGUGCUGAAGCGGCCCCCGCCGCGACCCUGGCCGCUUUGGGCGGCAGGAGGCCCGGACCGCCCGAGGAGCCGCCUCGGGAGCUAGAGUCCGUGCCCUCGAAACUCGGGGAACCCCCUCCGCUCGGAGAAGGGGGAGGAGGGGGCGGGGAAGGAGGAGGAGCCGGCGGCGGCUCCGGGGAAAGGGAGGGGGGCGCUCCGCAGCCGCCGCCGCCCAGGGGCUGGCGAGGGAAAGGCGUACGCGCUCAGCAGAGGGGCGGCAGCGGCGGGGAGGGGGCCUCCCCUUCUCCAUCCUCCUCUUCUGCGGGCAAAACCCCAGGAACCGGCAGCAGAAACUCCGGAAGCGGCGUUGCGGGGGGCGGCAGCGGUGGUGGAGGGAGCUACUGGAAAGAAGGAUGUCUGCAGUCUGAGCUCAUCCAGUUCCAUCUCAAGAAGGAGCGGGCGGCAGCGGCGGCGGCCGC